UGGACCAUCAAGGAAUUGGUGAAGAAAUAUGGAGUGCAACACCGAGUUUCAACUUCGUAUUAUCCUCAAACAAAUGGCCAAGCAGAAAUUUCCAAUUGAGAGUUGAGAUUAUAAGUGAGAAAACAAGAAUAAUUCUCAAAGUAAAUGGACAUAGACUCAAAAUCUUCAUUGAAGGGGAAUCCACAUCAUCCCAAGUGUGCAAGAUCACACUUCUCCAUCCCACCUACACUUGAGAUCACAAGAAUAAACGGAAUGAACAUUUGCAUACUAAUAAGGAAUUCAAUGCUUUCUCCAAGCAUGCUUUCCACCAAGCAAAUAUCAAGAAACAUCUAGGGGAGUACACUAUUUCCCUUUCCUUUCUCUUUCACUUUACUUUGCUUUUCAAAAGCUUUGAGGACAAAGAAAUUUUUUAAAUGUGGGGUGGAUAGCAUAUUUCUUGGUACUUAACUUGCAUGUGUAUGAAUAUGGGGUCCUAUUUUUUUUAAGAUUGCAUAUCUAUCCAACCCUUAAGC